rnacentral:rRNA from 1 species
UACGUAGGGGGCAAGCGUUGUCCGGAUUCAUUGGGCGUAAAGAGCGUGUAGGCGGCCAGGUAGGUCGGUUGUGAAAACUGGAGGCUCAACCUUCAGAGGUCGACCGAAACCAUCUGGCUAGAGUCCGGGAGAGGAGAGUGGAAUUCCUGGUGUGAGCGGUGAAAUGCGCAGAUAUCAGGAAGAACACCCGUGGCGAAAGCGGCUCUCUGGAACGGUACUGACGCUGAGACGCGAAAGCGUGGGGAGCGAACAGG